UAACACGUAGUCAACAUGCCCAGGGGACGUGGAUAACCUCGGGAAACUGAGGAUAAACCGAGAUAGGUCACUACUUCUGGAAUGGGUAAUGACCCAAACCUAUAUGGCCCCUGGAUUGGACUGCGGCCGAUCAGGCUGUUGGUGAGGUAAUGGCCCACCAAACCUGUAACCGGUACGGGCUCUGAGAGGAGGAGCCCGGAGAUGGGCACUGAGACAAGGGCCCAGGCCCUAUGGGGCGCAGCAGGCGCGAAACCUCUGCAAUAGGCGAAAGCUUGACAGGGUUACUCUGAGUGAUUUCCGUUAAGGAGAUCUUUUGGCACCUCUAAAAAUGGUGCAGAAUAAGGGGUGGGCAAGUCUGGUGUCAGCCGCCGCGGUAAUACCAGCACCCCC
rnacentral:rRNA from 1 species